rnacentral:rRNA from 1 species
AGGCGCGCAAAUUACCCACUCCCAGCACGGGGAGGUGGUGACGAAAAAUACCGAUGCGGGACUCUUCAUGAGGCUCCGUAAUCGGAAUGAGUGAGAUUUAAAUCCUUUUACAAGGAUCAAUUGGAGGGCAAGUCUGGUGCCAGCAGCCGCGGUAACUCCAGCUCCAAUAGCGUAUAUUAAAGUUGUUGCAGUUAAAAAGCUCGUAGUUGGAUCUCGGUCGCAUUGUUGCCUGCCAUCGCUUGGCUUGUGAGGCAGAGUUGUGUGCUUUGCACUGGCUUUGUCAUGCUGGUCGAGUUGGCUUGGUGGCGGUGUAGCCUUUUAGCCAUGUCUGUGGUGAAAUACCCAUAGGUGUAGGCGAGUGUCAGGCGGUGCCUUGCAAUAGUAGGGUCUGUCGGCUUGUCUGCAUGCCUUUGGAUGCCCUUCAAAAGGUGUCUGUGGGCAGAUGGCACGUUUACUUUGAACAAAUUUGAGUGCUCAAAUCAGGCCGAUGUUGCCUGAAAAGUUUUGCAUGGAAUAAUGGAAUAGGACUUCGGUUCUAUUUUGUUGGUUUUCGGAUCCGAAGUAAUGAUCAAAAGAGACAGGCGGGGACGUUUGUAUGGUUGCGCUAGAGGUGAAAUUCAUGGACCGUAGCCAGACAAACUAAAGCGAAAGCAUUCGUCAAGCAUGUUUUCAUUGACCAUGAGCGAAAGUCAGAGGCUCGAAGACGAUCAGAUACCGUCCUAGUUCUGACCAUAAACUAUGCCAACUGACGAUCCGUGAUGGUAGUAUUUUAACCUUCCACACGGGCAGUCCCCGGAAAACCUUUAAGUCUUUGGGUUCCGGGGGAAGUAUGGUUGCAAAGCUGAAACUUAAAGGAAUUGACGGAAGGGCACCACCAGGAGUGGAGCCUGCGGCUUAAUUUGACUCAACACGGGAAAACUCACCCGGGCCGGACACUAUGAGGAUUGACAGAUUGACAGCUCUUUCAUGAUUUGGUGGUUGGUGGUGCAUGGCCGUUCUUAGUUGGUGGAGCGAUUUGUCUGGUUAAUUCCGAUAACGAACGAGACUCUAGCUUGCUAAUUAGUGUGCUUGUCCACUGUGCCUGUGUAGGUGGCGUUUCUACGAUUCUGCUCUAUCAAAGUGGCUUGCUGGAAGCGUGCGGUGGUUAUGCUGCUGUGUGUGGAAAGCUUGUCGCUGGAGUGGAUGGUUAGGCGUUGCUUCCGGGUGCGGCGCGAGCAUUUUACUUCUUAGAAGGACAAACGGCAGAAUCCGCACGAAAUUGAGCAAUAACAGGUCUGUGAUGCCCUUAGAUGUCCGGGGCCGCACGCGCGCUACAAUGACGAUGGCAACGAGUCUGACCUUCUGGCCCGAAAGGGUUGGACAAACUGGUCAAUCAUCGUCAUGACAGGGAUUGGGGCUUGUAAUUGUUCCCCAUGAACGAGGAAUUCCUAGUAAGUGCAAGUCAUAAGCUUGCGCUGAUUACGUCCCUGCCCUUUGUACACACCGCCCGUCGCUACUACCGAUUGAAUGGUUUAGUAAGGUCAUUGG